UACGUCGGGUGCAAGCGUUAAUCGGAAUUACUGGGCGUAAAGCGUGCGCAGGCGGUUUUGUAAGUCUGAUGUGAAAUCCCCGGGCUCAACCUGGGAAUUGCAUUGGAGACUGCAAGGCUAGAAUCUGGCAGAGGGGGGUAGAAUUCCACGUGUAGCAGUGAAAUGCGUAGAGAUGUGGAGGAACACCGAUGGCGAAGGCAGCCCCCUGGGUCAAGAUUGA
rnacentral:rRNA from 1 species